rnacentral:tRNA from 1 species
GGGCUGUUAGCUCAGUUGGUAGAGAGCAGUUGACUCUUAAUCAAUAGGUCCAAGGUUCGAAUCCUUGACAGCCCACCA